rnacentral:rRNA from 1 species
GAUGAACGCUGGCGGCGUGCCUAACACAUGCAAGUCGAGCGAUCUCUUCGGAGAGAGCGGCGGACGGGUGAGUAACGCGUGGGUAACCUGCCCUGUACACACGGAUAACAUACCGAAAGGUAUGCUAAUACGGGAUAACAUAUUUUAGUCGCAUGGCUGAGAUAUCAAAGCUCCGGCGGUACAGGAUGGACCCGCGUCUGAUUAGCUAGUUGGGGAGGUAAUGGCUAACCAAGGCGACGAUCAGUAGCCGACCUGAGAGGGUGACCGGCCACACUGGAAAUGAGACACGGUCCAGACCCCUACGGGCGGCAGGAGUGGGGAAUAUUGCACAAUGGGCGAAAGCCUGAUGAAGAAACGCCGCGUGAGAGAUGAAGGCCUUCGGGUCGUAAAGCUCUGUCCUCAAGGAAGAUAAUGACGGUACUUGAGGAGGAAGCCCCGGCUAACUACGUGCCAGCCGCCGCCGUAAUAC